rnacentral:rRNA from 1 species
UACGUAGGUGACCAGCGUUGUCCGGAUUUACUGGGCGUAAAGAGCGCGCAGGCGGUCGUUCAAGUCGAGUGUGAAAGCCCCCGGCUCAACUGGGGAGGGUCAUUCGAUACUGAUCGACUUGAAGGCAGGAGAGGGAAGUGGAAUUCCAGGUGUAGCGGUGAAAUGCGUAGAUAUCUGGAGGAAUACCGGUGGCGAAGGCGGCUCUCUGGGACGGUACUGACGCUGAGACGCGAAAGCGUGGGGAGCGAACAGG